AACGAACGCUGGCGGCAUGCCUAACACAUGCAAGUCGAACGAGACCUUCGGGUUUAGUGGCGCACGGGUGCGUAACGCGUGGGAACCUGCCCUUAGGUUCGGAAUAACUCCCCGAAAGGGGUGCCAAUACCGGAUAAUGUCUUCGGACCAAAGAUUUAUCGCCUUUGGAUGGGCCCGCGUUGGAUUAGCUAGUUGGUAGGGUAAAAGCCUACCAAGGCGACGAUCCAUAGCUGGUCUGAGAGGAUGAUCAGCCACACUGGGACUGAGACACGGCCCAGACUCCUACGGGAGGCAGCAGUGGGGAAUAUUGGACAAUGGGCGAAAGCCUGAUCCAGCAAUGCCGCGUGAGUGAUGAAGGCCUUAGGGUUGUAAAGCUCUUUUACCCGAGAUGAUAAUGACAGUACCGGGAGAAUAAGCUCCGGCUAACUCCGUG
rnacentral:rRNA from 1 species